GUUGGUAACAGGAUCCCUGUCCCGUUUGGAUAUGGGGAGACGAUGGGCUCGCACCGGAUUACCGCGAAUGAAUACCGAAGCGAGGCAAUCUCAAUGCUGUGCGUUACAGGGAAGACAUCCUCCUCCCUCAUGUGGUACCCUACCUGCAGGCUCAUCCUGACAUGACCCUCCAGCAUGACAAUGCCCCCAGCCACACUGCUCAUUCUGUGUGUGAUUUUCUGCAAGACAGGAAUGUCAGUGUUCUGCCAUGGCCAGCGAAGAGCUCGGAUCUCAAUCCCAUUGAGCACGUCUGGGACCUGUUGGAUCGGCGGGUGAGGGCUAGGGACAUUCCCACCAGAAAUGUCCGGGAACUUGCAGGUUUCUUGGUGGAAGAGUGGGGUAACAUCUCAGCAAGAGCUGGCAAAUCUGGUGCAGUCCGUGAGGAGGAGAUGCACGGCAGUACUUAAUGCAGCUGGUGGCCCCACAAGAUACUGACUGUUACUUUUGAUUUUGACCCCCCCUUUGUUCAGGGACACAUUAUUCCAUUUCUGUUAAUCACAUGUCUGUGGAACUUGUUCAGUUUAUUCUCAGUUGUUGAACCUUGUUAUGUUCAUACAAAUAUUUACACAUGUUAAGUUUGCUGAAAAUAAAUGCAGUUGACAGUAAGAGGACAUUUCUUUUUUUGCUGGGUUUAGAUACUUGUGCAUUCAAUUCUACCACAUUCACAGCUACCCAUCAAAUCUCCAGACAACCCAGUGAAGGUACAGUAUAUUGAUAAAGUUCUGUCUGACCUGAUGACUGGGGCAUCCAUCCCAACCUGUUGCUACUCCUUUGGCCUGUUUCCACCAGUAAUCUAUCACUGUGUGUAUCGCUGUGUAGGCUAGGUGGCUCUCCCAGUUACUCCAGGCUUGGCGUGCCUUCGUUUGAUCCUCUACUUAUCACCCAGCGCUGUGAUUAAACGUCUAAAUCAAC